GAUGAACGCUGGCGGCGUGCCUAAUACAUGCAAGUCGAGCGAACAGACGAGGAGCUUGCUCCUCUGACGUUAGCGGCGGACGGGUGAGUAACACGUGGAUAACCUACCUAUAAGGCUGGGAUAACUUCGGGAAACCGGAGCUAAUACCGGAUAAUAUAUUGAACCGCAUGGUUCAAUAGUGAAAGACGGUUUUGCUGUCACUUAUAGAUGGAUCCGCGCCGCAUUAGCUAGUUGGUAAGGUAACGGCUUACCAAGGCAACGAUGCGUAGCCGACCUGAGAGGGUGAUCGGCCACACUGAAACUGAGACACGGUCCAGACUCCUACGGGAGGCAGCAGUAGGGAAUCUUCCGCAAUGGGCGAAAGCCUGACGGAGCAACGCCGCGUGAGUGAUGAAGGUCUUCGGAUCGUAAAACUCUGUUAUUAGGGAAGAACAAAUGUGUAAGUAACUAUGCACGUCUUGACGGUACCUAAUCAGAAAGCCACGGCUAACUACGUG
rnacentral:rRNA from 1 species